GAGGGGAAGGGGCAGAGAGAAAGGGAGACACAGUAUCCAAAGCAGGCUCCAGGCUCUGAGCUGUCAGCCCAGAACCUGACACAGGGCUGGAACCCAUGAACCACGGGAUCAUGACCUGAGCCAAAGUCAGACACUUAACUGAUUGAGCCACCCAGGCACCCGUAACUUUAGGUUUUGAAUCAACUUUGUACUCCUAGGGUAAAACCCUUGAUGACAUCCUAAAUCAGCUUCUGCUAGAAUUGAUUUCUCCUCCUCCCUCUCCCCGUUAUCCUCCCCCUUCUCUGCCCCUCCUCCUCCUGGUGCAAAGGGAUGGUUUGGUAAAGCAUGGGGACAGGAUCUGUGGGCAGAAAGAGCUGCCGAUUUAUUAUUCUUUUACAUAGUGUCACUAGUGUUCAUGUAUGAGAUUUGCCUGUAGUUUUAUUCUCUUGGACUGUUCUCAAAACUCAGUUUUUACCAGUUAUUGUAUGUUUCCCAAUAGACUAUACUUGUGAAGUUGCACGUUUUAAUAUAUAUUCAAAGACUCAAAUUUUAAUAUAACUAUUGUACUGAGACAGUAAAAACCUUGGGAACAAGCCUCUAUGCCCCUGGGAAGCUCCGUGCUGGCCAUUACCACUUCUCUUGCAGAGCAAGACACCAGCUAAGGAUCAGAGCAAACUAGUCUGAGACACAGUGUCUGCCAGAUUUGACCUUUUACUGACUUUUGCCCUCAUUAUAAUAGUAAAAAUCACAUGCAAGGGGUGGAGAUUUUAACAUGUUAGACACAUGACACAUGAAGAAGUGUGACCUUUAAUUUUUUUUUAAUGUUUAUUUAUUUAUUUUUGAGAGACAGAGACAGAGCACGAACAGGAGAGGGGCAGAGAGAGAGGGAGACACAGAAUCCGAAACAGGCUCCAGGCUCCAAGCUGUCAGCACAGAGCCUGACGUGGGGCCCAAACUCACAAACCAUGAGAUCAUGACCUGAGCCAAAGCUGGACACUCAACCAACUGAGCCACCCAGGCGCCCCAGAAGUGUGACCUUUAAAUGCACGGGUCUCACUUUCUGGGAAAAGAUUACGUAAUGUGAGGACGUAGCAUUCCUGAGUAAGAGGUGCCUUGUCACUGACGGUUCUCUUGACCGGAGAGUUCAUACCAAGAUUCAGAGAAGAGCUGGAAGAGUCCUUUGGGCAGAUGUUGGACUCACUGGCCAUUUCCCAAGAGCAGCUGAAAAUGACCAAGUCCUAGGUGAGCUGUCUUUCCAAAGGAUUUGGGGAGAUUUCUAAGAAUGUGCACAAUUUUGAGAGCAACACUAUGUGCACAUAAUAGUCACGUGGGAAAAAGCAUGGACGAGAAGAUAGAAGAUUAAGACACAGCCAGGUGGAGCCUACAUAGAUCGUGGGUGAGAGCGCUUAACGUUGAAACAUUGCCGCGUGAACCAUACAGUCCAGAGCAGGGUUGCUGAUUUUCCGCUGGUGCGGAUGGCAGCCGUAAUCAAAAGAGAAACGGGCAUUUUUAUGAAGUACAUUUUCCAUUAAGACAGUUCCUCACAGUCAAUAAAUGCUUUCUGUCACUUAGGGAACAAGGUCUUCAUCAAAAACCGGAAGAGUCGCCAAAACUCCGUAUCACCAGUCCCUCCUCCCUCUCUUAUUUGAACCCACUUCAGUUGCUUUUAAUCCCCUCC